AGGUUACUUGGUACAGUGGUCGACAAAACGUUGAAAUGUUGAUGUUUAAGGGCUGUUGAUUGCUGGCAGCAAAGAAGUCCAACUGUGCUGGCACCCGAGAUAGCGUCUUCACAUUUUCUUCCAGGAUCAUCACCUUUGUUCUAAAUAGCUCCCACAUAGUGUGAACAGAAGUCACAUGUUUUAGAUUUUCUGCCUUGGCACCCAGG
rnacentral:lncRNA from 1 species